rnacentral:misc_RNA from 1 species
CCUGCACAUUAAAAUGAACCAAAAGAAUCCGUACAAAUUUAGGGUCAUGGCUGCUAAAAUAUUAUCUUUUCUGCAGUAUUUAAAAAGUAACCAUCACAACUAAACUGUAAUUCUCAACGAGUUUAGAGAGACAAACUGCAGAAUACUUGGGAAGAUGAGGACGCAUCAUGGCUUUCCUCAUCACUAUAACAGAUUUACACAGUGACUCAUUUAGAUCAAGAUAAUUAGACAAAUGAUAGUACCAAAUAUUAGCAAGGACCAAGGAACUAUCUACGUAUGAUAUUGAAUUUCAAAAUACAGAUUAUGUUAUAUAGGGAUCUCAAAUUCAAUUCUUCCUAGCUAUAAUGCUCAUUGAAGGUCACAGGUCAUCUGCGUUGUAUGUAAGGCAUAUGACAAGUUUGAAACUGACCUGGCACUCUGGAUCGCCAAAUCGUACAUUGUACUCAAUUAACUUAGGCAGGCCAGACUUCUUCUCUAUCAUUAACCCAGCAUAUAAAACUCC